UACGAAGGGGGCUAGCGUUGCUCGGAAUCACUGGGCGUAAAGCGCACGUAGGCGGAUCUUUAAGUCAGGGGUGAAAUCCCAAGGCUCAACCUUGGAACUGCCUUUGAUACUGGGGAUCUCGAGUCCGGAAGAGGUUGGUGGAACUCCGAGUGUAGAGGUGAAAUUCGUAGAUAUUCGGAAGAACACCGGUGGCGAAGGCGGCUCACUGGCCCGGUACUGACGCUGAGGUGCGAAAGCGUGGGGAGCAAACAGG
rnacentral:rRNA from 1 species